rnacentral:rRNA from 1 species
UACGUAGGGAGCAAGCGUUGUCCGGAAUCAUUGGGCGUAAAGCGCGCGUAGGCGGCCCUGUAAGUCCGCUGUGAAAGUCAAAGGCUCAACCUUUGAAAGCCGGUGGAUACUGCAGGGCUAGAGUCCGGAAGAGGCGAGUGGAAUUCCUGGUGUAGCGGUGAAAUGCGCAGAUAUCAGGAGGAACACCGAUGGCGAAGGCAGGUCGCUGGGCUGUAACUGACGCUGAGGAGCGAAAGCAUGGGGAGCGAACAGG